UAAUGGUAACAUUAACCGGUGUCCGGUUUGGAUUGAUGUCCUGGCUAACUAAACAGCAUUGUAGAUACAUUGGAAAAUGUUAUCAGAGAAGGUGACAAUCCUGUAUCAAUGUUGUUGCUAAAUAGUUAGUCGAUUUGCAUGGCUCAAUCUAGCGAGUAGAGUUGAUUGAAAGUUCAACUUGAAGUUGGAGAUAAGUCUCUCCAAAAGCUAAAUAUAAAGCGAGACCGAUAGCGAACAAGUACCGUGAGGGAAAGUUGAAAAGCACUCUGAAGAGAGAGUGAAAAGUGCGUGAAACUGUUGAGGUCGAAACGAAGGGAAUGUUACUGUGACUCAAUGGUUUGCUAGAAAUAGACAAACCGCUCGAGUUGUGCUGUCAAUAAAAGACUAGUAAGAUUGUGAUCAAUUUUUGACAGUUGCAUCAGGCACUUGAUCAUCUUUUGCUUUCUCGCUUCUGUGGGUUAGUGAUUGUGAUUGGGUUGCUGUUGUGACGAAAAUGCGAUACUUUCUAAUAAUACUGGUCAUUGUCAGCAAAUUCAAUGUUCUCUUCGUCCCGUCUUGAAACACGGACCAAGGAGUGUAGGUUACCUGCAAGUGCUUGCGCUCAUUGAAAGCGUACACGCGUAAUGAAAGUGAAUGGAUUCAAGUGUUGUGCUGCUUGCAGUGCUUCGCUUGUUUCUAUCAGUGGUGAUAGCGCCAAGUUGGUGUCUCGCAACCACAGACAGUUUUGCUCGAAUAAAAGCUUAACUGAUCUAGAGCAGGUAGCCUACGACCCGAAAGAUGGUGAACUAUGCUUGGGCAGGGUGAAGCCACGCGAAAGCAUGGUGGAAGCCCGCAGCGAUUCUGACGUGCAAAUCGAUCGUCAGACCUAAGCAUAGGGGCGAAAGACUAAUCGAACCAUCUAGUUGCUGGUUUCCUCCGAAGUUUCCCUCAGGAUAGCAAAAACUCAAUUUUAAAUUUGAUUCGAGCAAUUUCAUCGAGUAAAGCGAAUGAUUGGAGGUUUGGGGUGACGUAUGUGCUCUCCACCUACUCUCAAACUUUAAAUCGGUGAGAUGUCAUUGUGACUUAAUUGCACUUUGGCUUAUGCGAUGAAAAUCGAUUUGAAUGCGAGUUUUUUGUGGGCCGUUUUUGGUAAGCAGAACCGGCGAUGAGGGAUGAACCUAACGUUGAGUUAAGGCGCCUAACUACUUGCUCAUGAGUCACCAUGAAAGGUGUUAAUUGAUAUUGACAGCAGGACGGUGGCCAUGGAAGUUGGAAUCCGCUAAGGAGUGUGUAACAACUCACCUGCCGAAUCAAUUAGCCCUGAAAAUGGAUGGCACUAGAGCUCGUGGCCUAUACUCAACCAUGAAUCACAAUUAGGUCUCAUUUUUUAGUCUCAGACGCCUAAAUAGUUCAUGUGUAACAUUCGUGUUGCCUUGUUCUAUGAUGAAGCUGAUGAUUCUUUAAUUCUAGUCCUUAAUUGAUCUUCUUAUCGGACUUCUUGUUUCAACAUAUUUGGACUUUUGUUCAUUUAGUUGUCAAGUUGUCAUUCAACGAUUUGAAGUUAUUGAUUCAUGAGUAGGAGGACACAUUGGUUGCGAUAACGGUUAUGCGUGAGCAUAUACCCGAAGCGACCAAUGGAGCAGAUCUUGGUGGUAGUAGCAAGUACUCAAGUGAGAACCUUGAGGACUGAAGCGGGAAAGGGUUUCAUGUGAACAGUGUUUGCACAUGAGUUAGUCGAUACUAAAAACCAGACUAAAGUCGGUUUCUUUCAAUCUUAGCAGUUUAAUAAAUCAACUUUAUUUGUCAAGACUUGUGAUGAAUGGAUGCCGUAUUUAUUGUCGUUUCUUUCCCUCUCACGAGAGUUAGUUACGUUCAAUUAUACGUCGCUGAAGUUUGGAUCUUGUUUUGUCGUAUUGUCGAUUUAACUGCAUAGUUUUGAAAGGUCAUCGGGUUAAUAUUCCCGAACUGGUUCUAUUGGAAUAAUACGUUGGCAACAACUGCUAAAUUUAGUUAGUUAUCGUGAGAUUGGCGAAGAGUUCUCUUUUCUUUAUAACAUGUAGUAGGUCCUCGGAAUUGGGUUAACCAGAGAUAAGGAUCGAGGCAUGAAAGAGCACAGCAGCAUUUGCUGUGUGCCAAUUUUUCACGGUAACACUGAAAGCUAAAUUAUAGCUGGUUCCAGUAGAAUCAAUCGUACCGAUACCCGCAUCAGGUCCCCAAGGUGAAAAGCCUCUGGUCUUGGAACAGUGUAGAUAAGGGAAGUCGGCAAAAUCGAUCCGUACCUUAGGUAGAAGGAUUGGCUCUGAUGAUUGAGUAUGACUAGCCUUUGAUUGUUUUCAUUGGUUCAUUGUCUGAUCUUUGAAUAAAUUGAGUGCUGGCCCACGGGUUGGCGCUCGAUUGUUCGGAGAGAUGAUAUGCCUUUGGACUCAGUUGAGGGUGGACUUAACAUGUAUAUGCUCGCUCUGUCCUUUUUGGUGCAGAUGUGAGGUAAUCAUGUUUUGUUGUAUGUUAUACAAUUAACAAU
rnacentral:rRNA from 1 species